rnacentral:lncRNA from 1 species
GAAAAUUCAGCUAUAAGGGCUAUAAAUAGGGGCCGAAUACAGGGUUACUAGGCUACUGUCGAAAUUCUUCUUCACCUUGUUGCCAAAAACCCCUUUCUCCAAAAGCCAAAAACCUUUUUCCUUUCAAGAUCCAGAAAGCCGAAAACCUUUUUGUUUUUCUUUCUUUUCUUCCUACCGAUUACUAUUCUUCUCUACACAAUUUUCUUUGUUUCACUUAGUUGAUUUCUUCUUCUACUCUUCUUCUUU